GACGAACGCUGGCGGCGUGCUUAACACAUGCAAGUCGAACGGAAAGGCCCUGCUUUUGUGGGGUGCUCGAGUGGCGAACGGGUGAGUAACACGUGAGUAACCUGCCCUUGACUUUGGGAUAACUUCAGGAAACUGGGGCUAAUACCGGAUAGGAGCUCCUGCUGCAUGGUGGGGGUUGGAAAGUUUCGGCGGUUGGGGAUGGACUCGCGGCUUAUCAGCUUGUUGGUGGGGUAGUGGCUUACCAAGGCUUUGACGGGUAGCCGGCCUGAGAGGGUGACCGGCCACAUUGGGACUGAGGUAGGGCGCAGGAUGCAAUAGGGGGCAGCGGUGGGGAGUAUGGCACAGUGAGCGAGAGCGUGAUGCAGCAGCGCUGCGUGCGGGAUGACGGCCUUCGGGUUGUGAACCGCUUUCGCCUGUGACGAAGCGUGAGUGACGGUAAUGGGUAAAGAAGCACCGGCUAACUACGUG
rnacentral:rRNA from 1 species